GUAAAAGUGAAACAGCUCAGUGAUAACAGCGGUGCACAGGCUCACUAAACUACCUGCAAGUACAACACUUUAUAAUCAGUGCAUAAACACUGAUGAGGACACAGUGUCUGCAGUGAUCUCCCCCUUCACUCUGCACUUCAGUGGACAAAAUAAGGGAAACUCCACAUGAUUCAACUUCAAAGUAAUUAAAUCAAAGCUGCUGAGGCAGUUAAGUUAUUUGCCUGACUGACAGUUGAAAUUGUCUGUCUGCCAGCUUCAGAAGAGACAGUCAACGCCUCCACUUUUAGUAUGAGUGAGUUAACAGACUUCGAGAGAGGCCAAAUAGUCGGUGCCCAGCUUUCAGGUUUGUCUGUCAGAAAAACUGCCCAGUUAUGUGGUGUAUCAAGUGGAACUGUCCUCGAAGUCAUGAGUGCUUAUAACAAACACCGACAUACUGCAUCAGCAAAGAAGAACAGUAAGCACGAGCCACAGACGAAAAGGACAAGGCCGACAAAAGCUGGUGCUAAUGGAGGAGCUGCCAGUGGGAAACCAGUAUCUGACUCUGACGUUGACACACACAACCCCGAUGAAGAGAGCAAAGACAAGGAGUAAUUUGAGCUGUAUUUCAGACUACAUUUAGACUGGUUAAUGUCUAAAGUCACAGGAUACCUUCAUUUAAACCACAAUUUUAAUUCCUUUUAAAUAUUUUUUUACAUUUUAAUAAUUUUUGGGAAGGCUUCAGAAUGGGCAGAAAAUUAUUUUUUAUAAGCUUAAUACCUUUAGUUCAAUUUAAACCAGUGGUAGAGAAAUGUCCUUACUGUACAUUCCUAUUUUGAAAGCAGAGAGUUUUCACCUAUGUGCAGGCAGUAAGCAGUGUUUUACACUGACAUUUGCAUGCUAGUUGCAAUCCACUAAGGUCCAUGUACUGGUAUUUGUUUAUGGAUUUCUAAAAGAUGAGACAUUCCAUUUAGUUGAGGAGAAAUAAAGACAAAACCCCUGAAAAGAGAUAAAAAGGACUUAGAAGUGAAGGUGUUGAAGUGGACCUGUUCAUUCAAAGAAAAAUGUGCUGAAUUUGUGUCUGUGUUUGUGGAGACUGCUGUGCAAUGGUUUCAAUAAGAGAAAAUACAUCUAUGGUCUCCUGUCA